GUGUGGUUGUGGCAUCGGCGAAGGUAAAUAUAAAAAGGAUGACGAGAGGACAAAUAGCUUCAACUCACUAAACCAUUUAUUAAACGUAAAUCACGGACCAACAUUCAGGGAGAACUGAGGACAUUUAAAGGAACAGGAACAAAAGAGCAAACAAGCUUCUGCGAGCGUGUAUGGCGUCUGGCUUCAGUACCUCACUGUGACUUCAGAUAAGAACAAAGAUUAAAUUGUAAGAAGGGUUGCUUAUAAAAGCAUACAGUACAUCUGAAACUGCUGAGGCUGGGAAGGUUUUUGACUAUUUCCGACCAGAUCAGCUGCUAUAGAAGACAAACUGAGAUCUGAGUGCAGAGAUGGGAAUACUGCAAGACACUACUGACUAGGCUGUGCCCAGGGCUCCGGAACCUGCGACGACGCUCAGCUCCAUUGGCCCUUAGUCUGCGGCUUCGGAUCCACCAGCUCUGUCUCCAUCGGUCGGCCCCCAGAUGUCCAAAAUACUAAAUACAAAAAUACUAUAAACAUACUUGUAUUUCAAGUGCAUUUUUAAUACA